rnacentral:rRNA from 1 species
GACGAACGCUGGCGGCGUGCUUAACACAUGCAAGUCGAACGGAAAGGCCCUGCUUUUGUGGGGUGCUCGAGUGGCGAACGGGUGAGUAACACGUGAGUAACCUGCCCUUGACUUUGGGAUAACUUCAGGAAACUGGGGCUAAUACCGGAUAGGAUCUACUGCUGCAUGGGGGGGGUUGGAAAGUGUCGGCGUUUGGGGAUGGACUCGCGGCUUAUCAGCUUGUUGGUGGGGUAGUGGCUUACCAAGGCUUUGACGGGUAGCCGGCCUGAGAGGGUGACCGGCCACAUUGGGACUGAGAUACGGACCAGUAUCCUACGGGAGGCAGCAGUGGGGAAUAUUGCACAAUGGGCGGAAGCGUGAUGCAGCAACGCCGCGUGCGGGAUGACGGCCUUCGGGUUGUAAACAGCUUUCGACUGUGACGAAGCGUGAGUGACGGUAAUGGGUAAAGAAGCACCGGCUAACUACGUG